CCCCGGUAGACGGCGAUGGUCUCCCAGGCUGGCUGAGACAUGUCGAAGUGCUGCCGCGGCGGGUUGCACCACCCGCCGUUGUCGCUGGGAAGGUCGUAGUUGGGCGGGCAGUAGUUGGUGGCGGUGACGGUGAUGUGCGUCCCCUUCUUGCACCACGUCGACUUCCUCGAGUCGCACACGAUCUGGAAGCACGCGCCGCAGGCGGCGCCGUUGUUGAACAGCGCCGUGCUCAGUGCCGUGUUCUUGAUGCCGUACCCGUCGGUGUACAAGUUCUGAUACCCACACGCUCCACCUGCAUCCAUGGAACACCCACCUUAGAGCGCAGACCAAACUCCCAAGCAUCAAACGUCGUGUGUGAGUCACCCACCCAUAGUGCCGGAAGCAUCACCCCCUCCAUAGAAGGUUGCCGAGGCAGGAAUCCAAUCAUCUCCCAGAGCUCUGAACUCAGAGGCAAACCACGCGAGGAACAGCAGCAGUAGUGCAGCCUUCUCCAUCUCUACUUGCUCGAAGAAGACAACUACUCGGUGCUGUGAAUAUU
rnacentral:lncRNA from 1 species